ACUGCAGUUGUGAGAACAUCAGUUCUGCACUGAAGUCAUUCUGAAGAGCAGCCUGACACACUGAAGGAACUGAAGGACAUCUGAGUCACUGAAAAAUAGAUAUCCUGUAGCACGUUGUACUGCUUUACAUGCUGUUUUUCAUCAGGGACUUGAUCUGACUUGAACACUGACUGGUCUGGAGUGCUUUGAGAUAAACAUAGCAGGCAUUGAGACAAAUAUGGAGGAGCCUGUACAGGAGAGCUUUGAGACAAAUGCGGCUGCCCAAAGAGUCAUUGUCCCUAACCACUCUGAUUACCUUUCGCUGGAUGAAGGAACAGGUCCGAGAUGUGUACCAGCAUGAUGCGUAUGGCCAUCCCUUUCGUCAUCUGCUGUAACAUGAUCAUCACGUUCUCAUCAGCAGUCUGGAUUCCAGUUCAACCAAAACAGCAUAUUUGGGUCACCCUUGCCAACAAGACAGGACAAGACACACUUUGUUUGUCAACUGUGUCACCAGAGAACCUAUUCUUGAUGUUGGUGGGACAAUGCCUAGACAAAUGGCCCAUCCUGAGCUCUCUUCUUGGGAUAGCAUUUAACAUGAAUACAGUAGUCAACAUAAGGGAUGGAUGGGUACCCCAUCUGCAACAGAGUAAUCUUCAACCACAAGAACUGGAAUUGUUUGGUUAGGUUAAAAUGGAUUAUUGUUUUGUAUUUUAACUAUAGUGGAAAGAAUCAAUCAUUAGUUCAGUGUGUUAAUUCUAGUUUAUCUGCUUAAAGAAAUCACUCUGUUUGGUGUAAUUAUACUUCACCUAACAUCUCAAGAUCUAGUAACCGUCUGCUUAGUUUGCCAGCAGGAGUUUUUCUCAUUUGUGGGGACAGGCCUGCUAGCCCUUCUCACAUCAAAGGAGGUCCAUGCAGUUUGGAAGGACAAAUUUACUAACACCUAUUAUCUCCAUGAUUACUCACCACCGAAAGCACUUUAAGCGAACUGUACAUGCUUUUCAAUCAGAGUGUAAGGAUAAUGUAGAAUUUUGAAACCCUGGGGGGAUAAUAGCAGCAUUGUUUUUAGCCCUGGGCAUUGCAUCAGCUAAAGCUUUGAGCACACUUACUAAAUUUGGAUGCUGGCUGGCCAAGCAAACAAAUGCUACUUCCUUGGCUCUAAGCAGACUGUUACUACUAUAGACUCAGUACGACACGCUAUGCUACAGAAUCGUGCUGCUUUAGACUUCUUGCUGUUAGCUCAGGGUCACAGAUGUCAGGAUUUCAAUAGAAUGUGUUGUAUGAACUUGUCAGAUCAUUUGAAAUCAAUAUAUAAAAGCAUUCAAGAUUUGCAGAAUGGAGGUAAGAAAUUACAGGUUGAUGACGUGUUGGAUAUACUUGAAGGCCUCUUUGGAAGCCUGGGAGCAUGGAUAGAGAAUGUGUAAAAAAUAGGGUUAGUUUGUCUUAUUGCUUUCCUCUGUGUUUUAAUUUGCAUUCCUUGCUUAUUGUAGUGUGUUCAGAAAAUGAUAGAAGAUGCUUUAAUUCAUGAUUUUUUUCAUUAGUAGAGAAGGGGGAGAAGUGGGAGAAGGAGAAGUCAGCUUGACCUAGUCGAAUGUCAGCUUGCUGAUAAUAAGACCCUGGAAAAGAGAGAUGAACAGAAUAAGCAGGGAUGUUUUGCAGCUAGGCAUAAGAUAAGCUCUCUGCUGUUACGAAGACUUGUUAUGGAACUUGCUUGCUUUUUAGCCAAUGGAUUGUUAGUGGAAGUGUACUGACUACAUGUGUUAGAAUAUAAAAGGCUUGUUUGAGAAAGUAAGGGGAUAUAGCAAUAAGGAGAAUCUUCUUUGCAUGAGAUCCCUAUGUCAUGUGCUAUCUUGCAACAACUGAGAGGGUGGUAAAGGUACAAAAACAGGCUAUCCAGAUAAGCUAUGGAUGCCUCGUUUCUGAAGGUGUUCAAGGUCUGGUUGGGAUGGGGACCUGGGUAGCCUGACCUAGUCUUCUUCAGGAUUUCUGUUAAUAUGGUGAUCAGCCAAAUCAAAUGUAUUGUAAACACAUAAAACAGACCUGAGGCAGCAAUAUCCACCCA